rnacentral:pre_miRNA from 1 species
AGGUUGCCCAUGGUGUGUUCAUUUUAUUUAUGAUGAGUAUUACAUGGCCAAUCUCC